rnacentral:pre_miRNA from 1 species
UCUGUUUGGUCUGGUGGCUGUCGGGGAGGGGCGUGAGUCUCCCCCGACUGCGGCUGACGGCUGACAGA